UACGGAAGGUCCAGGCGUUAUCCGGAUUUAUUGGGUUUAAAGGGAGCGCAGGCGGCGGCGUAAGUCAGUUGUGAAAUCGUGCGGCUUAACCGUGCAAUUGCAGUUGAUACUGCGUCGCUUGAGUGCACACAGGGAUGUUGGAAUUCAUGGUGUAGCGGUGAAAUGCUUAGAUAUCAUGAAGAACUCCGAUCGCGAAGGCAUAUGUCCGGAGUGCAACUGACGCUGAGGCUCGAAAGUGUGGGUAUCAAACAGG
rnacentral:ncRNA from 2 species